rnacentral:lncRNA from 1 species
AACUCCUUGAGAUUCACAAAAGAUGAACAUUACCUCCUACAGCACUACACUAAACUAAACUACACUACACUACAUUACACUACACUACAUUGCACUACACUACACUACAUUACACAACACUACACUACAUUACACUACACUACACUACAUUACACUACACAACACUACACUACAUUACAUUACACUACAUUACAUUACGCUACACUACACUACAUUACACUACACUACAUUACACUACACUACAUUACACAAAAUUACACUACACUACACAACAUUACACUACACUACACUACACUACAUUACACUACACUACACUACACAACACUACACUACAUUACACUACACUACAUUACAUUACACUACACUACACUACAUUACACUACACUACAUUACACUACACUACAUUACACUACAUUACAUUACACUACACUACACUACAUUACACUACACUACAUUACACUACACUACACCACACUACAUUACACUACACUACACUACACUACACAACACUACACUACAUUACACUACACUACACUACACUACAUUACACUACACUACACUACACCACACUACACUACACCACACUACACUACACAACACUACACUACAUUACACUACACUACACUACACCACACUACACUACACUACACUACAUUACACUACACUACACCACGCUACACUACACAACACUACACUACACUACACUACACUACAUUACACUACACUACACUACACCACACUACAUUACACCACACUACACUACACAACACUACACUACAUUACACCGCACUACAUUACACUGCACUACACUACACUACACUACACUACACAACACUACACUACACUGCACUACACUACACUGCACUACACUACACUACGCUACACAACACUACACUACAUUACGCUACGCUACACUACACUACACUACGCUACGCUACACUACACUACACUACGCUACGCUACAUUACACUACACUACGCUACACUACAUUACACUACACUACACUACAUUACGCUACACUACACUACGCUACGCUACACUACAUUACACUACACUACACUACAUUAUGCUACACUACACUACACUACACUACACUACACUACACUACACUACACUAAUCCCCGUGGAAACCAGCAUUUAAAACAGGAGAGGAAACAGGACUGA